rnacentral:misc_RNA from 1 species
AAAGUCGUAACAAGGUUUCCGUAGGUGAACCUGCGGAAGGAUCAUUAUCAAUGAUAUCCAUCAUACACCGUGAACUUUAUGAACUGAGUUUGGGCAGGCAACUGCCCAAUUUUACACACACCCUAUACUUUAAAGCAGAGUCAAUUAGGAAACUAAUAUAGACAACUUUUAGCAACGGAUCUCUAGGUUCUC